CGCGGGCGGAAAAAUGAAAGCUCGGAGCGGGUCGCGGCCGCUUCGUGCGGGCGCCGCGGGCCGAGCGGGGGCGAGUGAGACCCGCGGGCUCGGCGGGACCCCGGCCGCACAGGCUUCCCGGAGCCGCGGGGCCGCUCCCCCGCUCGUGCAUGCACUCCCGCGCACGCCCGCAAGCCUCGGUGCACGUGCACACCUCGCAAAAUGCGAAGACCCCCCAGUGCACACUCGCGCCCCUGCGUGCGUUCCCCCGCACGCGCACAGCUCGCUCAGGCACGCGCGUGCCCAAGGGCGCGCCCCACUCGCGCACGGACAGUAGGCCCCCCAGGAGCGGAUUCGCACCCACUCCCACCCGCCUUCCGAUCUGAACCCGCAUGCUGCCCAGGGGCCCCCCCCAACACACACUGGCACAGGCUUAAAAUCCGCCCCUUUGGCCCCGCAGCUCCGGUGUCCCCACUUUCCAAGAACAGGUUCCGAUUCCUCAUAGAUGGUAGAGGCCCUGGCAGGAAGUUUAUACGGCUCAACGUAAACACGUUCUGGGGGAUUCUUUAAUAAUAAUAAUAGAGAAUUCCGCGUGCGCGGGGGGAGUUGGCCUAAUGCCCCUGUGGGCUCGGCCUGCCGCCGCCGCGGGGCCUCUGACACUGCGCGCCAGGCCAGGUUCCGGAAAGCAGCCUGCGCGGGUGGGAGCGCAGGCCCCGGAGGCCCUCGCGCCGGGCGGUCGGAGCCGGGAGCUCGCGCGCUCGCCUCGCCUCGCCUCGCCUCCCCUCGCAGGACCGGGGCGCCGGCGCGGGACCGCACCGAGCGGAGCGCAAGGCGGCCAGAGGCACCCAGAGCCUCCUGCCAGACCCCAAAACCAAACAUUUCACCAUCCUGCUGUUUCUGAGACUCAGUGGACGUGGGAAAUGAAAUUGCCUUUUGCGGGGCUCGGGGUGUUCCUUCAUCUCCGUGCUCCAGCUCACCCUUCAAUUCACUCAGCAAAUGAUAAAUAUGUGGUAUGUAUUGAGUCCCUCCGAGGGGCCAGGCUGGGUGCUAGAAUUUGCCUGGCAUCAUCUGUGUGGCCAGACAGCACUGUGAACCAUGGAGCCGUCAUGUUGGAAACCAUGGGGGACCCACCUACAAGGAUGUGA
rnacentral:lncRNA from 12 species